CUCCUACUUCAUUCAAAGUGAAGGAUAUUAAUUCAACAGCUGUUAAACUUUCUUGGCAUUUACCAGGCAACUUUGCAAAGAUUAAUUUUUUAUGUGAAAUUGAAAUUAAGAAAUAAAGGUGGGGGAAUGUUUAGAUAAAUUAUGUAAUACCUGCUAAUAAAAUAUCACAGAUAUUUUAAAUGAUAGUUUUGAAGUUUUGUCAUAGUAUAGAAAAAUGAUUGGCAUAAAUUAUGAGAAAGCCAGGGCUCCUCUAUCUAUACUAUGAUUGCCACCAUAUUACGAUAAUGCAUAGAAUGAUUUUUCUCCCAUUCUUUUCUGCUUGGAAUUUUAAUUAUGCUUUUAACUCAUUGGCCUUUUUUUUAAAAAAAAAAAACAAUUACUAAAAAAGAGAAUUUGUUAGUUUUUAUUUGUGACCUAGACCUGAGAAAUGUG
rnacentral:lncRNA from 1 species